UUGCGCUAUCAAGAUGAGCCUAGGUCGGAUUAGCUUAGUUGGUGAGGUAAUGGCUCACCAAGGCGACGAUCCGUAACUUGGUCUGAGAGGAUGAUCAGUCACACUGGAACUUGAGACACGGUCCAGACUCCUACGGGAGGCAGCAGUGGGGAAUAUUGGACAAUGGGCGAAAGCCUGAUCCAGCCAUGCCGCGUGUGUGAAGAAGGUCUUCGGAUUGUAAAGCACUUUAAGUUGGGAGGAAGGGCAGUUACCUAAUACGUGAUUGUUUUGACGUUACCGACAGAAUAAGCACCGGCUAACUCUGUGCCAGCAGCCGCGGUAAUACAGAGGGUGCAAGCGUUAAUCGGAAUUACUGGGCGUAAAGCGCGCGUAGGUGGUUUGUUAAGUUGGAUGUGAAAUCCCCGGGCUCAACCUGGGAACUGCAUUCAAAACUGACUGACUAGAGUAUGGUAGAGGGUGGUGGAAUUUCCUGUGUAGCGGUGAAAUGCGUAGAUAUAGGAAGGAACACCAG
rnacentral:rRNA from 1 species